GGUUGCGAUCAUACCAGCACUAAUGCAUUGGAUCUCAUCAUAACUCCGCAGUUAAGCGUGCUUGGGCGAGAGUAGUACUAGGAGGGGUGACCCCCUGGGAAGUCCUCGUGUUGCAACCC
rnacentral:rRNA from 1 species